UUUAGUGUUUAUUUCUCCUCCUGACGGGAGAGACAUCCCUGAGGAGCAACUGGAGAUGUUCAUAGUGUUCUGGGGGUGAUGUUCAGCUGCUGCUUCCUGAAAUCCCCCUGGACAUUGAAAACACCCCUGGAGCAGGGUGGGAUGAGGCCCUGGGGUGGAGAGAGGUUGGCACAGGUGGUGAUGGGGAAAAUGGGUUCACUUGGGCAGAAAAAGGGCUUUUUGCCAGAAAUUCUUCCCCCAUGGACUGGAGAUGCUGAGAAAAGCCACAGGGAGUGAUAACUGAGGUGAACAGCCUCCAAAAGGACUGGGAGUUGUGGCUGUGAGGUGUUCUGGGGACUCCCUAAUAGGGAGAGCUUGAAAUACAUGGUGAUUCCGUGUUCCUGCAGGAGCUGAUCCCUCGACUGGCACCUCCUUGGCUGAGCAUCCGUGCCCAGGGAUGGGGAGGGCACAUCCUCCGACCCCUGGGCUUGGCAGAACAACUCCUCAUUAACGAAAUGCAAGAAUUCCACUGUGAAAAUAGUUUCCACCCAGCAUGGAAAUGAGCUCAGCUCUGGAGCACGCUGGCCCUGACAGCUGGGGGUGUGCUGCUCAUUUGCAGUGGGGUGAUUGGGCUCAAACCAGAGAUCAGGUCACCCAUCAAGGGGGAUUUCCUCACUUUCAGUCCCUGUUUGAGGUUUCUCUUGCGGUUUCCAAUGGUAGGACCAAUAACUUCAUGGGAAUGUUAUCAGUGUAAGAAGUAGAAUGCUUUUCCUUCAAGAGACUCUCUGAUGAUGCCACCACAAAUCUCAGCAGCUCUGCUGGGACCAGAGCAGAAUUCUGGCCUGUUUAACCCCACUCACAUAAAACCAGAUUGAAAUCAAAUUGUUCUCCCAAUCUCUGCACACGGAUGUUGCAUUCCUGUAGGUUUGAGGUCGGCUGUUGCUGUCCACAUGAG